AACGAACGCUGGCGGCGUGCCUAACACAUGCAAGUCGAACGAGAAAGGGGCUUCGGCUCCGAGUAAAGUGGCGCACGGGUGAGUAACACGUGGGUAACCUGCCUCUAAGAUUGGGAUAACUCGUCGAAAGAUGAGCUAAUACCGAAUAAGACCACAGUUCCCGCGGGAACAGGGGUCAAAGGUAGCCUCUGCUUGCAAGCUAUCACUUAGAGAUGGGCCUGCGCACCAUUAGCUAGUUGGUAGGGUAACGGCCUACCAAGGCAAAGAUGGUUAGCUGGUCUGAGAGGAUGAUCAGCCACACUGGAACUGAGACACGGUCCAGACUCCUACGGGAGGCAGCAGUGGGGAAUAUUGCGCAAUGGGCGAAAGCUUGACGCAGCAACGCCGCGUGAGUGAUGAAGGCCUUCGUGUCGUAAAGCUCUGUCGGGAGGAACGAAUGCUCCUGAGGUUAACAGCCUCGGGAGGUGACGGUACCUUCAAAGGAAGCACCGGCUAACUCUGUG
rnacentral:rRNA from 1 species